rnacentral:rRNA from 1 species
AGAGUUUGAUCAUGGCUCAGAACAAACGCUGGCGGCGUGCCUAACACAUGCAAGUCGUACGAGAAAGGGUCCUUCGGGACCUGAGUAAAGUGGCGCACGGGUGAGUAACGCGUGGAUAAUCUACCCUUCAGUUGGGAACAACUCAUCGAAAGGUGGGCUAAUACCGAAUAAUACUGCUCGACCUUGGUCGAGCAGCCAAAGAGAGCCUCUGCUUGCAAGCCCUCGCUGAAGGAUGAGUUCGCGUACCAUUAGCUUGUUGGUAGGGUAAUGGCCUACCAAGGCGACGAUGGUUAGCUGGUCUGAGAGGAUGAUCAGCCACACUGGAACUGAGACACGGUCCAGACUCCUACGGGAGGCAGCAGUGAGGAAUCUUGCGCAAUGGGGGAAACCCUGACGCAGCAACGCCGCGUGAGUGAGGAAGGCCUUCGGGUCGUAAAGCUCUGUCAGAUGGGAAGAAAUGGCUGGAUGCCAAUACCAUUCAGCCUUGACGGUACCAUCAGAGGAAGCACCGGCCAACUCCGUGCCAGCAGCCGCGGUAAUACGGAGGGUGCAAGCGUUGUUCGGAAUUAUUGGGCGUAAAGCGCGUGUAGGCGGUAGGGUAAGUCAGAUGUGAAAGCCCUGGGCUCAACCCAGGAAGUGCAUUUGAAACUGCUCUGCUAGAGUGGGGGAGAG